CCCACUCUCUGCCAUGCUUGUCCCACUCCCUGGUGGGAGGACUCACUUACCUGGCCAGCCUGAGAGUCACCUGGAAGGAAAGGUGAGAGGUCAGCAGUGGAGAAAGCUGGGGUUCUUCUUGCCUGCCUCUGCCCCUCCAGCCUGGCUGGGACUGGCCACCAGAGAUUCCAGAAUCCCACGUCUGGAGGGCCUUCGAGGUGACGCACUUGGUGCUUCGAGGAGACACUUAGGAGCUGCCAGCAACUUUGCAAUUGUGACUCUUAGACCCAAGGAAUCCGAAGCAGCUGCAAAGGGGUCUUCUGGAAUCAACCUGAACACCAAGGAGUGUGAACGCCACAAAACGCCUGUGAAUCAUGUUGGGCAGAGAUGGGUAACUUUCCUGGAGACUGAGCAUCUCACCCAGAGUCCCAGAGAAGAGGAGCCCCACCCAGCACAGCUGUUUCCCAAGUCCAGGUCCUCCAGUCCAGCGAAUGCCAAGUGCACGAGAAGCGGCAAAGGAAGCAAAAUAGAGAGCGGUUAAAGACAGGUGCUUGGGGUUGUGUAGACUUGGGGGCUCAGACCCAACUUCCUCAUCUAGAAAAUGAAGGUAGUAAUAUCCACCUCCUGGAGACAUUGUUAGCAUACACCGAGACGAGAAAGCGCUUGGCCCGGCACAUAUGAAGUGCUCUGAAUCACAACAACAGUGACGAUGAUGGCGUUGCUGCUGCAACCUACCUCACAUCUCUCUGCUCCAACCUGGCCGCAUGCCCAAAUCACCCUCACAUGCCGACCCUCCCCAGGAGCUGGCCUCACAGACCUGUGCCUGUCACACUCCUCGUGGGCAAGGGCCGUGACAAAACCAAGACAAACUCAAGCUUUCUUUCUAUUGAGCAUUCCAAAUAAAAUUUCAGAUGUACAUAUAAACCUCUAUUUGCACCCCCCCGCCUCCAAUCAGUUUCCUUCCCCAAAUCCUUCUACGUACCUGUUCUUAGUAGGCAAACUCCUCAUAGUGGGAGCUCAGUACUACUGGGAACACGCCACUGUCUUCCUGGACAGUUGCAGUUUUUAAUAAGCUGUUCCUGGCGCUCAGUUUCGAGUUGAGCUCUGCUUACAGAAACACCUACACAUCGGCUUUUGCCCUCCUGAACUGCAUGGCACAGGCCGACCCACUUCUCUCUGGGACAAUUCUUUUAACACAUCUCUGUUAACACUUAGGCCUGGGCUGCAGGUGGCUGUCCUGCCUAUAUAUUCAACCCCAAUUUUCUUGAGGGGCUGUUGUCCUUCACGCACCCGUAGCUCGUGAAAUAAUCCUCCUAGAGACAGGGUUGGCAUAUGAAAUUCCGUGCAAUUCUGGUCUGAGGUCCUGGUUUUUAUUGUCUUUAGGCAGGCCCAGGCCUCCCCAGAAUAAUUAGGGAGACCCUGGUCAGCUGAGAAUCAGACACACUGGGGUGUUUGAACCCCAGCUGCACUUGUCCUAACCGUGUGGCCUUGGACAAGUUCCUCAGCUUUCUCUGAACUUCAUUUUCCUCAUCUGUCAAAUGGGGAUAAAAAGUCUUACUUUGCAGGUUGUUAUAACAAUUAAACGAUGAGUGGCGAGACUAGCAUAGUGUAGAAGUUCAGUAACUGGCGGCUAUUAUUGUCUUUAAGGGAGAAAGCUGCAGAAUUCUUUGAAGGGGCAGAGCAAGAGUUAUCUCUCCCUGGAGAUACUGGGAGGGGCCUGGGUUCUGAGGUGAACGCCUCCUGUGCCAGGCAGAUGGAAAGAUGAUCUCGGGCAAACAGCUGGAGCCCACCACUGCGGGCCUUGAGCUGUGUGCCAGCCCUGCCUGCCCCAGCAAAGGGGCCUUGGGGUUGACACAGCCAGUGCCAAGCCAGAUGGGGCAGCGGCCAACUUUCCAGUCAACCCAGAUGUCUGCUUUCUCAGAUGAAAACUCAAAAAUGUAGCUUUCAUCAAAGUGGCUUUUGAGAGCUGGGUUCUCUCCAGACCCUGGCAGGGGGACUUCACAAGCUCCGAGCAGGGACCUUUGAUAAUGCUCACGGGGUCAGGAAGGUCAGCUGCAUCUGUCACUCAGCGUGAAGGGCGAAGGGGGCACCCUAGGCUAACCUAGAUUGAGUCAUCUCCCUGAGAAAGAAGCCAUUAGGGACUUUUUCUGGAAGAAAAGAGAUUGGUCUGUGCCAUGUAAUUGAGACUUCAAGAUGGUCCUUCUGCAUGUCAGAAAUAGCAGUAUUCUGCAGGGACCUUCGUCGACAGCCCAGCACAGAGUCUCAGAGGCCAAAGGUGAUUUAAGGAAAACCAUGAAGCCACAUGGCUCCCCCGCUGCUGGCUGUAUUACUCCCCUCACACCACCUCGUUGGGGGUGACAAGGCCCUUUUCUGAGGGACACAGCUUUAUUUUAUCAGAGGAGAAAUAGAGGCUCCAAGGGCCAAAGGCACCAGGGCUGAGAAUGUCCUAGAACCCAGAGGCCCUGCCUGUCUUGCCCGCCAUUCCCAAUCUCACCACAGCAGUGGGCCUUUUCUUCCGCUGACUCUUGCACAGUAGCUUGCUUGCCACGUCUACUUAAAGAAACAUCCCCUGCCUGGCCCCAGGCUUGGGCGUGGAGCUAGGUGUCUGGCACCCUGUCAACACAAACAAGGCUCCCGGCUCUUGCCCCCUUCUCGACACAAUGCCCAGCUGCACUUUAGCGUGUUUUCAAUGUUUAUGUUGCCCUAGUCUUUGUUAUUAUGCUCUUUGGUGUGCUGGGAUGCUUCACAUUCCAGGGUCUGCACUGUGGUGCCUAGCUUGCCUAGAUAUGCUGAGCACAGUGAGGGAGAGGUGGUGGAAGGGGAUACCUGGGUCAGGGAGGGGGCGAGGACUCAGCCUGGGGUGCACUGUGCUCCAGGAAACGUUGCUCACUCUCUUGGUCUCACCUGCAUAUGCAACUUCCUUCGCUUGUUAAUUCAGCUCUUCCCCAUCUCUUUGACUGGCUUACUCUAAUAAUUCUUCAGAUCUCAUCCUAAAUGUCACCUCCUCUAAGAAGCUUUCCCUAAUCUGCCAGUCGGAGCUAGGAUUUCCUACCCCACAGUGUAUGCAGAUGUGCAGGUUGUGCACUGCACAAAAGCACCACAUCUAAGGGAACCAUUGGCACCCUAGAUUUGCAUAUUUAUAAAGAUUGUUUUGAACAAAUAGAAGGGGCAUCUUUCUGUAAUUUGCACAAAGGUGCUACAGGGCCUAUUGGUGUCCCUGGUUCUGCUGUCUGUUCCCUCCGUAUUUUGCGUUGUCUCGCCACUGCACUAGCAUUCUCUUUCCGGUGCCCACUGCCUGUCAGCAUUCCCCCUCCCCUAUUGGACUGUAAGCUUGGAGAGAGGAGGCUCUGUUUCUACCUCAUUCUCCACUGUCUGUCCAGAGUCUGCACACUUUCAAGAGUUGCUUCAUCAAUGUAAAGAGUUGUUGACUAAAUGGAACAUGGGAUAUGGAAGUCUCAAGGGUCAGCGGAAAGAAGAAAAGUGGCAGAAACAUCUCUGGUCUGCAGGGGGAGAUGCUGAGCAGUUCAAUGUACUUCUGGGGGGAGAGGGGCGCGCAGUGGGUCCAUUCCCUUUUCCCUUUUUGGAGAGAUAUUUUCUAAUAAUAAUAUUAACGUCUACCAUUUAUGGAUCUAACGCUAAGCACAUGCAUCAUCUCAUCUACUCUCCACAGCAGCCCUGCGAAGCUGGCACUAUUACAGUCUUCACUUUGCAGAUCAGAGAUGGAGCAGAGAGAGGUCAGCAGGCAGAGUUGGGACUGGUACUUGGUAUGUGUUAAAUAUUCAAGCCUGGGAGCUUAA